AAAGUUCUCAACCACUCUGGUUCUUUCUGGUGUGGCUUGGAUUUGAGGGGUUUUUGCAGGCUUUUGAACUGAAGUCGGCUCCCUUGAAAAGGAUUAGUGGUGUCUGAGCAGAAGCCACCAUGGGUGUGAUAACUAUCUAUGCCUUGGUGAAUGCCUGACCACAAAAGCUGUUGUGUUUUGACAA
rnacentral:misc_RNA from 1 species